ensembl:lncRNA
CUCCUUUCUGUCCCUCGCUGCGCACUGUAGAAGCAGGAAGAAGUGCUGUAACAUUUUAAAUACAUUGCAUGCCUGUCCUCUUUGAGAUACAACCAUUAGAAUGGAGGCUGAAACGACAAAGUUGCUUAAUAACGGCUCACGCUGCAUAUUUUUCAAUACAGAUUCAGACGACUAUCGAUGUGUGGUGAUUUUAACGGUGAAGCGAGCAACGGGCACCUUCUCAUUAGUUGGAUGCUUUUUCAUGCUGUUUGUCAUCUGGUUGCUGCGCAGGUAUCAGUCUUUGGCUCAGAAGAUGAUUCUUAGCCUGACAGUAGCAGCCUUCUUUGACAGCGCAGCAUAUGUCAUGGGCGAGUCCCAUCCGGAAGGCUUUCUGUGCGCUUUUCAGGGGCUGUGGCUCACUUACUUUGACUGGUGUGCCCUGGCCUGGGUCUGCCUCAUCACAUUUAACCUCUACCUCAACCUGGUCAGAGAGAUCAGCACCAGCAGAUAUGAGACAUUGUACCAUGUGACCGCCUGGGGGCUGCCUCUCAUCAUGGCUGUCCUGCCCUUGCUGAAGGGCUGCUACGGUCCGGCGGGAGCCUGGUGCUGGAUCACAGACAAUCACGUAGCCUGGAGAUUUGGGAUCCUGCCCGGGCUGGAGGCGGUCAGACAGGGGGAUGGUGACGUCUCGCUGUGUGUUAGCGCUCUCCCGGGUCAGGGGUCGGAGCACCGCGUCCCCGUCCCCCUACCCCAGCUUCCACCCUCCCUUUAUUCCGCUCUCCCUCUCUUAAUAUUUUUUUCUCUCCCCUUCUUUUUUUCCGCUCUUUUUUUCUUUUCGGCAGUUAUUAUUUCCGGCUGAAAAUGGACCGCCACCCAGCGCUCCCAUCUCGCACCGAGCACUUGAAUUAAAGUCGCUUUCAUGCAGACCGCGUUCCUCCGAGAGGGACAGAGAGA